UCUUAUCCACACUUCCCUUCUUCCUCUUCUCUUCCAUUAUUUUGUGUUAAUGGCUUGUUUUUAAGAGUAAUUGCUCAACUUUUCCCUCUCAUUCUCUUAGUAAGCUUGUAGAGGUUACAAAAAAGGUAAGUAAACUUUCAUCCCUUUAUUCGUAUUUUUUAUACUUUAUGCUUGUAGUGAGUGCUAAAAUUUUCAAUAGAAUAUCCUGUAUGCACUAGGUAACAAACUUAUUGCAUGCAAAUCAUAGGUUUAAUGCAUUCUUUUGUACCAAUGCAAUAGUCAAUUUUACAUGUAUAAGUUUUAAUUUUGUUUAUUGAUUGUUUUCCUUAUGUUUUCUGUGACACAAUUUUUUCCCAAGAUUAUAGAUCUAUUCAGAAUGGUCUCUAUACAAUUUUUAGAUUGGUUGAAGUGAUUUGUGAGUAAUUCCUUUGCAUGACACAUUUUUAAAUUGAUCUUCUUUCUUUUUACUAAUAAAAAAAAUAUUUUUAGUGCUCUUGUAGUUUUACUAAACAAUCCUAAGAUCUUUGAGAGAAUUUUUGGGCCCAAAUAUAUUUUAGAUAUUAUUGGUUGACUUGAAUGCAUGUUCUCUUUCUUGUGAUUUUUUUCUCUUUUUAUUGUUUUUAGUAUUUAUCUCUAAGUAUUUCUCUUAUGAUCGAAUCCAUCCCCAACUUUUUGUGCUUGUUAGCACAUGAUUAGAUGCAUUGUAAUCAUUAUUUAUUUAUUUUUUGAUACCAUUCAGAUAAUACAAUUCUCGUAGUGGUAACCGGAAUUAAUUGGCUGACUUUCUAAAUUCUAAUCCUAAUUAUUCCUAUAAAAUCUAACUUGAUUUUUAAUGUGUCUUGAACUUGUGGGUAGCAUCAAUAAUAAAUUUUGUUAUUUAUAAGUUGGAGCCAAAUUUUGUUGUCUGGGAUUCUUUAAUAAAAAAAAAGGUAGAUCCGUUACCUUAGCGGCCCCCUAGUGCCGGCCCCACGGAUAUGGAGGGAGGUACAUGCAGGUACAUAGACCAUAGGCGCAUGGUGGGGUAAAUCCCAGGUCGUCAGUUCCUGAGAAUCGACCCCUAACCAUUACGCUAGAGAUGCCAUGUGCCCACCGUUUGCGCUAUGCCCUGGGGGCGUCUGGGAUUUUUUAAUGAUUUGAGCUAUGUUGCUGUAAGAGUUUUGAUUGCCCUUGUAUGUGGCUUAUGAAUCGUUGGAUUUGAAUAUUGGUUUGUGUAUGUGGCUUCUUUUGGUGUUCUUGUUAUAUUAGGGAUACAUAAAUUUUAAUUCGGAUUGUGAUUCUGCUGUGUUGAGGAGUUUUUUUGGUUUGCCUGAGAUUGUUCAUUAAAUCUAGCUUUGAUUUUGUAAUAUUGUCCUCAAUCUUUGCCUUGGGUUACUUGAAGUUCAUAUGUUACUUGUAUUUAGUUGAGGGAAAUCUUUCUUGGGCAAUACUUGGCAGCUCAAAUCACUAAUGGAGAUGGAAUAAUGUUGGCAUAGUGCUUGUUGGAUUUAAGUGGGGCUUUCUUGUCCUUGUUGAUAACGAUGAAGUUAUCAUAUGGACAAGUUGUUUAUUGGAGUUUAGAGUUUUAUUGGGAAACAACAACAAAUAUUUACUUUAAUGAUGAAUUUUAUAUUGGGUUGAGGCGAAAAAGGGCUACCGACCAAAAGUAAUGUUUGGAAGCAUAUGUUUUAUUUCUCCUAAUUUAUGUAAACUUCUAAUAGACUGGUUUUCUCCUUGUAUUUAGUAAUGUGCAGAGUUACUAGACGAAUUCAUGAAUUCUAUGAAAAGAUAUGGAAAAAAGUACUAACUCAGGUCACUGACUAGAUCUCCUCAUCGCGGGUCUAUGUUGAAACAAAGAUUGGUUUUCUCCUUACCUUUUCAUUGAAUGAAGUGAUAUAACUUGUUUCCUAUUUGCUAUUGAUUAAAUUAGGUGAAGCUCUAAAGUUGUAUGACACAUAUUUUUAAAAUGAUUGCAUAUAGGUUUGUAUUGUCUAUCCAUAACUACUGUUGUCCUGCUUUUUGUUGGAGUUUCAACAACAUAAAAUGAUUGCAAUAGAUAACUCAUUAGUCAUUCUAUAGAUUUCUAAGUUUUGUUGCUUCAUUAGACAUUUUAUAGGGCACUUUGAUAGCUCAUUCAUAAGGUUGUUUACUGCUAGCAUGCUUAGUGGGGAGAAACCUACCCAAACAUUGCCCCCCUACUACGAAAAGUGCUACUGCAAAGCCAUGUAUGAAAACAACAGAUGGGGUGGGACAAUUCAAGGAUUUUGUUGAGAUUGGAAGAUAUUGAGAGAAAAUUGAAGGAAGAUUGGGAUCAUGUGUAAAGGUGGAACUGUCUCUCAAAUAAAGAGCAGUGUUUCGAAGGAACUGCUAGCAGCUGUUACAAGAUGCUUUGUUGAUGUUCAAGCUCUACAAAAUCAUGACAUCCCAAGGUUUCCGGUGAAGGCAUUUCAUGGAUGGUAUCUGUAGUUGAAGACUUUCGAAUUGCACAUAUAAAGCUAAAGGUGCUAUUGGAAUCUUUUUACCGCUUGUAAUUCUCACAAAAUCCUCUCUUCAAAGUAAGUGUUGGUUAUAGAAUUUAAUUAAUUUUUGCAAAGAGUUUGGGCUGUAAUCUACAAUCAGGAAAGCGUACUGUUAGACUUAUUGGAGUCUUACAUAAAUUUGUAGGCUCAGUUUUUUUGACUUUUCAAAUAAUAAUUGUUAUGACAAUGAGAAUCUUAAGUUUUGCUUUCUGAGACAUUAAAGGUUUCCUCCAAUGUCAAGCUUACUCUUUUGAGUCCUUUGGAUGCUAAGUGUGAAAAGAAUGCAUAUGAGGGUGUGUUGCAACAAAUCCCAAGAAAUUAGUGAGCGUAUUGGAUUCUCUUUUUCCGAAUCUAGAUAUGAUUCACUUCCUCGUGAGGAUGUUAAUGCAAAACACCUAAUUUGUUGAAGGAUCUGGGAAAUUUUGACCGGAAAAUUACAAGUGACACCAGGAAACUUGUCUAUCACACUUUAAUCAAAUUGCUCGAGGUAUUUUCUUGGGAACCAAUACUAUGCCAUGAUAAUGUAGAUGUGGGAUGGUCUAGACUAUCAGAUAUGGAUGUUAACGAGGGAAAGCUUCUUGGAUGUUCAUACAAUCAAAGUUGUGUUGGCAUAUGGGUUGUGGACCUCUCUUGCAUUGAACCAUAUGCAAUUGCUAGUCCUAGAUUAAAUGAUCAUUCAGGCCAAAGUCUACAUCAGAUGGUAAUCCAUCUAUGCCAGCUGAUAACAUAAAGUCUAGUAUGAGGAGGUUAUCAAUAUUACAGAGUUUUGAAACAAAUUCUAAAGAGACAAAAUCAUUAUCAGCAACAGUCAUUGCUCCAGCCAGGUGCCCCUCAAAUAAUUGGGGCAUGUCCUACACGAUAGCACCUCUGACAACACCACCAUCUGUUUCAUCCUUUGUAAAAAGAAGUUUAUCAAAAUUUCAGUCUACAUCUGACCUUCAGACUAGCAAAGCAGAUAUGGCACUUGUGAUUGUUCCAAGAACUAGCCCGAGGAUACACUUGCCCUCUGAUUUUACUAAAGACUUUGGGGUUGGUAAAACAAUGUCAUUUGAUAUCCAAUCAAAAUUUACUGAAUUUUGGAAGGUGUCAAACAUCAAAGAGAAUUUAGAUAAAACAGAUAUCCAUUCAGUCUGGGAGCAGUAGUAAUAUUGAACAAAAUGAAUUUCUGGGCCAGACUCCUAUUUCUUCUAGCAAUGCUGGAACUCAACAUGUGUCAGCUGAAGCAAAUAAUUUGGAUGGUGUUAAGAACUUGAUUAAAUAAAGGAUCAGGUCUAUCUAAUUCAUUCAAAGAACCACAUUUGCACUUUGAUAAGGAAAAUUGUAAGUCUGAUACCACCUUAUUUUGUUUUGUUAGAUUAUUCAUGAUUCCAACUUAUCAAGAUUUCUUGUUAUUAUUGUUGAAAGCUGUUAGUUAUAGGACAUUCUAAAGCAUACAUCAUCACUGGUCGAUGUUAUUUUGUAUUUCUCCUUCAAAUGAACUAUACUUGUAGAUAUUAAAUGCAAUAUUUCUUUGCAAAUCAUGGCAUAGAUAAUGAAGAGAACUUCCUGAGUGAAAUUUCAGCAUUGAUAAUUUUCAAUCUUGGUUGGACUGGUAUAGAUAAGGUAGAUUUUGUUGGACACGGGAGGAAAUCCAUUAAAAAAUUAAUCAGAUUGGUGAUGUCUUAUUUGCACACUUGCAAGAGAGAUGUCCAUGUCUUCACUAUUUUGGACAUAUUCACCGCAUUUAAUUCGACCUUAGCUAAAGGGCUAACUGAAUCAACCAUAGCCAAUCUUGACUAACCAUGUUCAAUAUUAAAUUUGUUUAUGAAUCAUUCAAUAUGUUUUUUCUCAUUUCAGGGCACAAUUUCUGUUGUCGGCUUUUUGGCGUUUUAAAAAUAGUUGUUGGAACAUUGGUAGAACACAGUUUCUUAUUCCUUGGUGUUGGAGAGGUUUUACUCCUAAUCUCAAUUGGUUUAUUUGGUCUAUUGAAUGUGUUUAACACUUUAACUUUGAUUUUUUUUUCACUUGUGUAUUUUCUUGUGAACAUCUUAGUUUGCCAUUCUGGGAGUAUGAAUUCCUAUUUACUUAUGCUUCGUCCUUGUAUUUCAUAUUACAAAUCUUGUAAUGCAUAUAAUUAUAUGAGAAAUAGAUAUAGGAAGAUCAUGUCUAUUAGGAUUUUAUUUAUGAGGUGGGCUUCUGCUUUUAUAAAAAGAGGGUAGAAGAUAAUUUUUCCGAUUUUGUGGUUUGGAUUGAAAUCUACUGUUUGCCAUAAUUUCGCUAUGCUACUUAGUGCUAAGUGUACAUGUUACAUUUUAUGUGACUUUAAUUAUUGCACUAUGUAGGUACAUGUUUCAAGAGUAUUUUAACUAAUCUCAGUUAAAAUGUUUGUUCUGUUUAUACGAAUACUUCUUCAAAUCUUUUCCUUAUCUUGAUUAUCAAUACAGGCUGGUACCAUAGCUCUAGAGAUGUUAAAGCAGGUUUUGAACUUAGUCUUUUUAUUAUGUGCAUGAACAACGUUUUGGAUGUGAUGAUGAUAAUUUUAGAUAUUGGCAAAUUUUGGUUGUGGAUUUCUUAUGGUUGUUGUAGACAAAUGGUGCUCCAUUGGAAGAGACUCGCAAGAAGUUAUGAAUGGUCGAUUCUAAGGUAAGGAAGAGAAUCUUGGACCUUGGUUAUACUUAUUACAAGCAUACAACUUUUAAUUGUUUUACUUUGUUGUUCAUUGUUUGCAUUGUGAUCCUUUCUGGGGCUUAAUUAUGAGCUCACACAAGGAUUCCCUUCAACAUUUUAAGCAACCUUGGGCACAUGAUCAUGAACCUGUCAAUAAUCUUGUAGUUUCUUGCCAUUGUGGUUUCUUGGCAGGUGGUUUCAUGGGCUAAAUGUUUACUAUGCACUUGUAUAUUUUCUCUCUUACUAUGUGUGACUCUUAAGCUAUAUCAUUGUUGAUGAUAAGAAUGCUUUCUCCAACUCAGGUUUACUCUUUUAAAGUGGUUUCUUUAGUAGUCAUGUUUUCAUUUAGUUCUUCUACAAGAUACUUUAUCUUAUUUUUGCUGUCUGAAGUUUGUACAAAUUCAAGCGGACUUUCUACUAAGGAAGUAGUUGAAGCGAUGGCUAAUUUUAAUGAGAUAGUAUUAGAUCCAAUGCACGAGUUCCCUUGCAUUGAUUUUGGCUCAAUCCAACCCUACCUCUCAAUCAGAAUGUAGUGUAGAAGAGGCAUAUACGUGGAGUAAGGUAAGUUUUCUCUAUCUUUUUGCAGCAAUAGUUGCAUAAUUCAUAUUCACAAUUUACUUUGGUAGUUAAGAAUUUGGCUUUCAUUCACAUGGUCAAGCAAUAUUUGCUAGUGUGAGUCCAUUUGAUCCAAUUGAAUAUGAUGGAAAAGUUCUUGUGCCAGGACAGAUUUAAAAUUUUUAUUUGUUACAAACUAACCUUUGGUGUUUCACUUUCUUCUGGUCAAAUAAUGCAUACAUCUUCUCGAGAUUUGGCCUUGGGCUGGUGAUCUUCGGAGCAACCCGUGUGCACAAUGAUGACAUGCUUACGUGCAGCCUGAAAGUUCACAAGUGGAAUCACCAUUACUAUAUUUCUAUUUUUGUAUAUCAAUAUUUCAAACUUGUUCCAUAUACCAUAAACCCAUCGGGAACAUGUUUAAUCAACUUUGAAAUUUACUUUUCCAUAUAUUCCACAAAACUAUGGAAAGUAGAAUAAUUGUGGUAUCUUUUGUUGGACAACAAAAGCUUUAACUCCUAAUGACGUAGGACAACUUGGACAAAGGAAUGGUCUACCCACCAUUCCCCAACAUUAGGAAGAUAUUUGCUCAUAUUGCUGCGAA